rnacentral:lncRNA from 1 species
GAGAGCUUUACAGACGACCUCAGUGAAAACAAAGGCAGCCUGAACACUUGUCAGUGAUGAAAUGCUGUAGACAAACACUGUUUGCUGGUAGUACUCAGUAAUCUGGAGGAUGGACUGUCGGAGAGUUCUGCCUGCCAUAGCCGCUGCUUGUUUCAUAGGCAUGGUGGUGAGCCAGACCACACUGACUCCUGCUGUGAUGAACACCACCAUCAUCGAGAAUGUGACUGGUCUGACUGUAACACCCGUGACUUUCAGCAGCACAACCCCAGGCUGUUUGGCUUUCAACCUUUCUUCUUGUGAGCCCUGUGCACCGGGGUCACAAUACGACAACAACACCCUGCUGUGCACAUGUUGUUCUGAUCCUGGGCUGUGUGCAUUCCCUGGAGCCUGCCUGCCAUGUUCUAGGGGGUUCUAUCAGCCACUAGCUGGACAGCAACAGUGUCUGCCCUGCAACCGGGGUUUCUACACCAAUUUCACUGGAAGCCCAUUAUGCCUCCCCUGCCCUGCCGGUACCAUCAAUAAUAACACUGGUCAAGAAAGUUGCACAAGUUGUCCACCAGGUUCCUUUGCAUCACAGCAGAGUUCUACUUCAUGUGCACCAUGUGCACUGGGGAGUUUUUGCAACUCAUCUGGUUGCUCUCAGUGCCAGAUGUGCCCUGGAGGAACUGAGGCUCUGCAGAUUGCUGCGAGAGGCUGCACACCAUGUCGGCCAGGCAUGCACAAGGCUUCCCAUCAGACCAUGUGUCAAAUCUGUGGCAGUGGCUUCUACCAAAUCCACUGGGGCCAGGAAAGCUGUGAUAUCUGCCCAGAGAAUCACUACUGCCCUAGCCCUGACGUGAACCCCAUUCAGUGUCCAAGUGAUGCUUUCUGUCCAGAGGGCAGCUUAUCUCCAGGCUACUGUAUGGAGACUUUCUUCCGCAAAUCAGGGGACACUUGUGAACUGGCUCCUGUCACUAUUGCACUGUUAGUUAUUGGAGGAGGGGUGGCCUUGCUCUUCAUUAUUUUAAUGGUUCUACGUCGGCGCAGAGACACUGAUGGAGAGCUGACAGUAGCUCGGACUCCACUUUUACGCAAAGAACGACCUCAGGGUCGUUACUAUGGCCUGCCCUGUGACGCAGAGCCUGUUUAUGCAGGCUGGUGAAGCACUAUAAUACAAAACAAAAGAACUGACAGCAGAAAGCUGGUGCCUUCAGGAUCAUGUGACAACCCACCAGCUCUUUAAAGGUUCCAUAUGUAAGAAUUUGAAUAUAUGUAGGUAAGGUAACCAAUUAUUAUUCCCCUACUUCCUCAGUUGCUUAUAGCAAGGCAAUUUCAUACUGGACAUUUUUUUUUUACAAAUGCAAAAGAAGUCAUGUUUAUGUUUGCUCCUGAGUGAGUUGCCUCAGAGACAGUAGUUUGCUAGUAUUUUGCUUCAGAGUACUUUAGCUAGCUAGCAUGCAGAUCGCUCAGAUAGCUAUAAAGGAACUGCACUGUAUAGAUUUGAUGUCUGCUUCAAAUGUUUCAGUGCAACUUCAUCAUAUACUAUUACUCAGGUAAACACUGUAAUGAAAAGCUCGCAGUAGGAUGCUGCUGCCAUUCCCUUGACUGUGACAUGUGUCACUAAUGACCAGGAUUUUUUAAAUCUUGCAUUAAGAACCUUUAAUGUGGUACAUUUGACUUAGAGGUUACAGGCAAGAAGAAGUCAAUUAUUUUGUGAAUUUGUAUAGUUUGUCACUGUUACAAUUGUUCCACUCCGAGAUAAAUGGUCCCCUUGUACACUACAUUAUUGGAUUAUGAGCGGUAUGCUGGAAUGGUGAAACCAAGAUGCAUGCCAGGAAUGGUGGGAACCCUUUUCUCUUAUGAAAAGCACUUUUUUUUUACAGAGGCAAUUGAUUUAGUUUGCAUUCAUGUGGUAGACUAGUGGCUGCUUACAUUAACUCAUAUCAUUCCUCGGUGACAGAGGUGUAAACUGUGGUUAAUGCCUUGUGUGUGUUUGUGUUUUUAAAUUUGUUUAUUGUAUGUUAUGUUUGUUGUUUCAUAGAAAUAUUUGCUUAAUGGAUUUCCACUUGCUUUUUUAAAAGGAUAC